ACGGGAGGCAGCAGUGGGGAAUAUUGCACAAUGGGCGAAAGCCUGAUGCAGCGACGCCGCGUGAGCGAAGAAGUAUUUCGGUAUGUAAAGCUCUAUCAGCAGGGAAGAUAAUGACGGUACCUGACUAAGAAGCACCGGCUAAAUACGUGCCAGCAGCCGCGGUAAUACGUAUGGUGCAAGCGUUAUCCGGAUUUACUGGGUGUAAAGGGAGCGUAGGCGGCCAAGCAAGUCUGAUGUGAAAACCCGGGGCUCAACUUCGGGAUUGCAUUGGAAACUGUUUGGCUAGAGUGUCGGAGGGGUAAGUGGAAUUCCUAGUGUAGCGGUGAAAUGCGUAGAUAUUAGGAGGAACACCAGUGGCGAAGGCGGCUUACUGGACGAUUACUGACGCUGAGGCUCGAAAGCGUGGGGAGCAAACAGGAUUAGAUACCCUGGUA
rnacentral:rRNA from 1 species